GAUGAACGCUGGCGGCGUGCCUAAUACAUGCAAGUCGAGCGAACAGACGAGGAGCUUGCUCCUCUGACGUUAGCGGCGGACGGAUGAGUAACACGUGGAUAACCUACCUAUAAGACUGGGAUAACUUCGGGAAACCGGAGCUAAUACCGGAUAAUAUAGUGAACCGCAUGGUUCAAUAGUGAAAGGCGGUUUUGCUGUCACUGAUAGAUGGGGCCGCGCCGCAUUAGCUAGUUUGUAAGGUAACGGCUUACCAAGGCAACGCUGCGUAGCCGAUCUGAGAGGGUGAUCAGCCCCCCUGGAACUGAGACACGGUCCAGACUCCUACGGGAGGCAGCAGUGGGGAAUCUUCCGCAAUGGGCGAAAGCCUGACGCAGCAACGCCGCGUGAGUGAUGAAGGUCUUCGGAUCGUAAAACUCUGUUAUUAGGGAAGAACAACUGUGUACGUACCUCUGCACGUCUUGACGGUACCUAAACAGAAAGCACCGGCUAACUACGUG
rnacentral:rRNA from 1 species